GUCGAACGAGAAAAGUUCCUUCGGGAACUGAGUAGAGUGGCAAACGGGUGAGUAACGCGUGGGAAACCUGCCCUUUGGUUGGGGAUAACACUCCUAACGGAGUGCUAAUACCGGAUAAGAUCAUUUCAUCGCAUGAUGAAUUGAUGAAAGGCGGCCUCUAUUUAUAAGCUGUCGCCGAAGGAUGGUCCCGCGUCCCAUUAGCUUGUUGGUGAGGUAACGGCUCACCAAGGCAUCGAUGGGUAGCCGGCCUUAGCGGGUGAUCGGCCACACUGGGACUGAGAUACGGCCCAGACUCCUACGGGAGGCAGCAGUCGAGAGGCUUCCACAAUGGGGGAAACCCUGAUGGAGCGACGCCGCGUGGGUGAUGAAGGUCUUCGGAUCGUAAAGCCCUUUCAGCAGGGACGAUAGUUUCAUUUGUUAAUACCUUAUGAAUCUGGACGGUACCUGCAUAAGAAGCUCCGGCUAACUCCGUACCAGCAGCCGCGGUAAGACGGGGGGAGCAAGCGUUGUUCGGAUUUACUGGGCGUAAAGGGCGUCUAGGCGGGCUUGUAAGUCAGGUGUGAAAUCCCCCGGCUCAACCGGGGAACUGCACUUGAUACUGCUGGUCUUGAGUUCGGAAGAGGGAAGCGGAAUUCCUGGUGUAGCGGUGAAAUGCGUAGAUAUCAGGAAGAACACCGGUGGCGAAGGCGGCUUCCUGGUCCGAUACUGACGCUAAAGCGCGAAAGGUGUGGGGGAGCAAACAGGGAUUAGAUACCCCUGGUAGUCCACACUGUAAACGAU
rnacentral:rRNA from 1 species